AUUGAACGCUGGCGGCAGGCUUAACACAUGCAAGUCGAACGAGUGGCGGACGGGUGAGUAAUGCUUGGGAAUCUGGCUUAUGGAGGGGGAUAACGACGGGAAACUGUCGCUAAUACCGCGUACCAUAGGAUGAGCCCAAGUGGGAUUAGGUAGUUGGUGGGGUAAUGGCCUACCAAGCCGACGAUCUCUAGCUGGUCUGAGUGGAUGACCAGCCCCUCCGGGGCUGAGAAACGGCCCGGAGUCCGACGGGAGUAAGCAUUGGGGAAUAUUGCGCAAUGGGGGCAACCAGACGCAGGCAUUACGCGUGAAUGAAGAAGGCCUUCGGUUUUGAAAGUUCUUACGUUGACGAGGCGUUAAUCACAGAAGAAGCACCGGCUAACUCCGGGCCAGCAGCCGCGGUAAUAC
rnacentral:rRNA from 1 species